UACGGGGGGAGCAAGCGUUGUUCGGAUUUACUGGGCGUAAAGGGCGCGUAGGCGGCCAAGCAGGUCCGUUGUGAAAACUGGAGGCUUAACCUCCAGACGUCGACGGAAACCGCGUGGCUAGAGUCCGGAAGAGGAGAGUGGAAUUCCUGGUGUAGCGGUGAAAUGCGCAGAUAUCAGGAAGAACACCAAUGGCGAAGGCAGCUCUCUGGGACGGUACUGACGCUGAGACGCGAAAGCGUGGGGAGCGAACAGG
rnacentral:rRNA from 1 species